UAGUUUAAUCGCUUUUUGAAUGAUCCGAUUUUUAACUCUCUCUCUCUCUCCCCCUCUCCCUCUCUCCCUCUCUUUCUCUCUCUCUCUCUCUGAUUUUCUGGAUUAUUUGAUAGAUUAUUUGUGUUAUGAAUAUGAAUUUUGGAUCUAUACAAGUUUGUUUGGCUAAUAAAUCAUAAAUCUACAAGAAUCUUACGUAUAGGUAUUUUUUCAUGUGCGUGUUCAUACACUUUUUGAGCUUGUAUAAGUUUUGCUGUGGUGGCUAGUGAUUUAGUUGAACUGGUGAGUCAUUGGUAGAACUAGUGUUUAGUGUGGUUUUCUUAUUGUCUGAUAUUUUGUUAUCUUUCAAAGUAUUUUGUUUAAUUUUGCAAUUAUGUGUAUGAAUACCGGCAUGUACAUAGGUCAUCGUCAUCGAGAGUUGCACAAACACGUCAUAGAAGUUAGGAGAGCCAUACCUCUAUCGAAUUUGUAGAGCCCAAGUUUAUAUAAACUACACAAAGGAAUGUUAGAAUACACGUGCCAGCCAAAAAUCCAGAAUAUCCCAGCAAAGUCUUCCACCUCACCAGAUUCCAACGUUCCAACAGUCUGCUUCCAAUAGCUUUGAUCUCCAGUUGUUUAGUUGUUAGGCUGUCAGUUAGUUAGAUGAUUAGUUUGUUAAUUAGCCAAUUAGUUAGUUAAUUACUCUACCAUUUUUCUCUAUAAAUAGGAUCAUUGUGUGCAUUGAAAAUUAUUAGAUAUUUUCCAAUCUUCAAUAUGAUUUCAUAUUGAAUUUAUCUUUUCUUCUUUUUGACUGCUCUCUAGUUCUAUGCUAGAGAGAAUUUAACAAGGAAGUCUAUACUUCCGAUUUGGCAUUCAAACCCCAAAAGUUUCACUAGAGCCAUGACAAACCACCAUGCUUUCGAACUGCGUUCAUGCAGGGAGGUGCUCGUACACCAACGAG
rnacentral:lncRNA from 1 species